rnacentral:snoRNA from 1 species
ACUGCCCCUAGAGGCGUUGCAGGUGUGGCUGCCAUGUGCUAUCUGUGUCAUUAGGUGGGAGAGAAAGAGAGAGAGAGAGACAAA